rnacentral:lncRNA from 1 species
CAGUGUUAAAGGAAGAGCUUCCAUGGUGACAUAGAAGCAAUCACCCAUUCAGCAACAGAAAGGCCUGUAUGCUGGACUCACUCCCUUGGAAAGAUGGGCCUCAGGACUCUUCAUGGGAGGAACUGAAAAGACUUUGACCUUCAGCUGCAUACAAGAAUCUUCUAAAGGCCAUGGUGAUCAAAUUGGAUGAACUUUACUGCCAUCUGGGGAUGUAAUAUUUUCGUUUAUGUUUGUCAUUCUAUCUUUUAAUCUCAUUAAAGAGACUCAUUAUGGAGUUUAAGGGAUAAAAGAAAAAGCAUUUCAGUGUUUUCACUUACUGUGAAAGCAAGUGGAGAAAAGACAGUCUUCUUUGUUGUCUCCUGAGAGUUUUUGAGGCUGAACCUAGCAAGUGAACUCGCCAAAGGGCACACUCCUGUCUGUGGAUAUGCACUACUUUCAGCAUCUGUGGAGGACAAUGCCAAUGCAUGGUAGCACUGCUGAUCGUCCAUGUGAGGCCCAGGGAACAGAACUGCAGCCUGGACAAGUGGUGGAGGAAACAGCCUGCAAGAGAGUGUCACUUCUGCCAAGCUUUUCAACUUUAAACUUUAAACCCUGUGUGUUUGACAAACUCCCAGAGUUACAGUAUAAUAGCAUUCUUCUUUCUUUUUCUCUUUCUUUUUCUUUUUCUUUUUCUUUUUCUUUUUCUUUUUCUUUUUCUUUUUCUUUUUCUUUUUCUUUUUCUUUUUCUUUUUCUUUUUCUCUUUCUUUUUCUUUUUCUUUUUCUUUUUCUUUUUCUUUUUCUUUUUCUUUUUCUUUUUCUUUUUCUUUUUAACUAAAAAUAAAGAUUCUUUCUCCUCCUGCCUUUUUAGCUGU